rnacentral:rRNA from 1 species
UUCCGGUUGAUCCUGCCAGCGGCCACCGCUAUUGGAAUUCGAUUAAGACAUGCGAGUCGAGAGUCGUAAGGACUCGGCGGACCGCUCAGUAACACGCGGAUAACAUGCCCUUAGGUGGAGGAUAAUCUCGGGAAACUGAGGAUAAUACUCCAUAGGUCUACUAUGCUGGAAUGCUUGUAGGUCGAAAACUCCGGUGCCUAAGGAUUGGUCUGCGGCGUAUCAGGUUGUAGUGGGUGUAACGGACCCACUAGCCAAUGACGCGUAAGGGCCUUGAGAGAGGGAGCCCUGAGAUGGACUCUGAGACAUGAGUUCAGGCCCUACGGGGCG